rnacentral:pre_miRNA from 8 species
GUGUGUGUGCUGACAUGACGUGAUCUGCAGACUCAGUACUCGGUGUAGAGUCUGUGUGAUUCAGAAGAGCAGCUACAUCUGAAUACUGGGUCAGUGGAGACGUCACACGCUACCCGCACACAC